rnacentral:misc_RNA from 1 species
AACGCAAAUUGCACUCUCUGGUAUUCCGGAGAGUAUGCCUGUUUGAGGGUCAGUGUAAUAAAAAAAUCGAUGUUGUUGCUACUUUACAUGGUAACGCAUCGGAAUUGAGUCAUCUUGUCUUUCGAUUAAGUGACUUAAAAUUUUCAUACGAUUUCGAAACGUAUUUAAUGUAUUAUGUACGUUUACGAAUAUCGGUUUAUUAGGUGCAGUCAUUCUCAUGAUUUGCGUCUAUAAUUUUCUUUUUUUGACCUCAAAUCAGGUAAGAAUACCCGCUGAACUUAA